UACGUAGGGCGCAAGCGUUUGUCCGGAAUUAUUGGGCGUAAAGAGCUCGUAGGCGGCUUGUCACGUCGGGGUGUGAAAGCCCGGGGCUUAACCCCGGGUCUGCAUUCGAUACGGGCUAGCUAGAGUGUGGUAGGGGAGAUCGGAAUUCCUGGUGUAGCGGUGAAAUGCGCAGAUAUCAGGAGGAACACCGGUGGCGAAGGCGGAUCUCUGGGCCAUUACUGACGCUGAGGAGCGAAAGCGUGGGGGAGCGAACAGG
rnacentral:rRNA from 1 species